AGAACGCCCAGGCGAGCCCGAAGGGCGCUCACACCGCGGCGGCCGCGGCCAGCCCGUCCCCGCAGGCUGGUCUCCGAGGGAGGAACCCAGUUAAUAUUGUCAAGAUAAUGAGCCAUUUUUGUGCAAAUUGAGAAGCCAGGAGGACUCUGACCCAGGAGGCCGCCCUACAAGAAUGGUAGAUCUUUUGGAGGACAGUCUCCCUGCAGUGGUAGCACUGUAGGUGCGGAAGUGGGUGGGGCUGGGACUUCUUUGACCCCCGCCCUUUCCCAAGCCUGGAACUCCUCCCCCUAGUGUGUUCAUGAGCCCCUAUUAGUCUUCCAAUAAAUCCUUUUCUGCUUA